ensembl:lncRNA
AUGACUCUGUUAAGAUUCCGGCUGAAUGAAACCAUCACUCUGAACUGCAGCAUGACCCACACAUACGAAAUAGCCUGGUAUCACCAGAAUCCUGAAUCUGGACGACUAACACUGCUGAUAUUUGCUAUGGGCAGGAUAAAAAAGCUAAAUUCAUUGCGUGUAAACACUCGUGCAACAGUUAAAGCAGAUAUAUGGAGCAACACAGUCUCGCUUAUUAUUACUGGACUAAUGGAGUCAGAUUCAGGUCUUUAUUUCUGUGGAACAAGAUCAGCGACUUCAGAAAUGCACUUUGAGAAACCCAUCAGACUACAGCUUGAGGACAAGCUGACAGACAGAGAGGACGAAGCUUAUUCUGAUGUUGGGAUCAGUGAAGGUUAUUCUGAUGUUGAGAACCAGUGAAAUUGCAUUAGUGUAUAAGUUAUAAAUUAUGCAGAUUUUAAUAACCUAAAGAACCUUUAGUCCAAUGGAAAGAUUCUGUGGAUAUUAAAGAUUCUUCAUAGAACUAUCAAAUCCAAUUAAAAAACUUUUUUUAAAGAGUGUAACUGUGUAUGUUACUGAGCCUAACAGCUUGUCACAUUAUUACAGAAAGUGCUUCACAGAUGUCAGCAUGAUUUUAUCAGAGUUCAAACUCAGCACAAUCGAUCAGAAUCUGUCUUGAUUCUGUUGUUUAAUGAAUGUUGGUUUCUGAAUGUUUUCUGUCUGUCUGUAGACAGGCUGGCGCUGACGGAGCGUUGCUGAUGGUCGGUGGUGUUGGUUUGGGUGUGUUUGUGUUUUCUGGCUAUAAUCAUUGCAGGAAGAAACAUUUACUGUCACAGCAGUGGUGGCUCACCAGUGUGGCAAACUUGUUCAAAUAGUGUCUUCAGUGUUAAAUGUGUCAUUAAAUAAUCAGCAGUAAAACUAAGAAAUCAUGUCACAGUUGUAUUUUUGAUGGACAAAUUAUAGAAAUUCUUUUUAAAUGUGAUGUAGACCUACAGUAAAAAAUACUGUCUGUUUUUAUAAAUAAACAGAAACAGGCGUGAAUGAAUAAAUGUGUC